rnacentral:rRNA from 1 species
AGGGCGCACGGGGGAUGCCUGGGCUUCUGGAGGCGAAGAAGGACGUGACAAGCUGCGAUAAGCUCCGGGGAGGCGCAAAUGGCCGUUGAUCCGGGGAUUUCCGAAUGGGGCAACCCGCCGCGCGGAAGGCGCGGCACCCACCGUGAGGUGGGGGCGAACCCGCCGAACUGAAACAUCUAAGUAAGCGGAGGAGAAGAAAACAAGAGUGAUUCCCCGAGUAGUGGCGAGCGAAAGGGGAGUAGCCCAAACCGGGGGCGUUCAGGCGCCGCCGGGGUUGUAGGGCCGCGACACGCGGACCGGAGGGAAGCGGAACCGGCUGGAAUGCCGGGCCAUAGCGGGUGAGAGCCCCGUACGCGUAACCGAAGGCGAGCCAGCGGUACCCUGAGUAGGGCGGGGCACGUGAAACCCUGUCCGAAGCAGCCGGGACCAUCCGGCAAGGCUAAAUACUCCCAGAAGACCGAUAGUGAACCAGUACCGUGAGGGAAAGGUGAAAAGCACCGCGAGCAGCGGAGUGAAAUAGUACCUGAAACCGUGCGCCUACAAGCGGUCGGAGUUCCGAUUUAUCGGAAUGACGGCGUGCCUUUUGCAUAAUGAGCCUACGAGUUGUCCUGUCCGGCGAGGUUAACCCCUGGAAAGGGGGGGAGCCGAAGCGAAAGCGAGUCCUAAUAGGGCGCUGAGUCGGGCGGGGCAGACGCGAAACUUUGCGAUCUACCCAUGGCCAGGCUGAAGUCCCGGUAACACGGGAUGGAGGGCCGAACCGGUAAGCGUUGAAAAGCUUUCGGAUGAGCUGUGGGUAGGGGUGAAAGGCUAAUCAAGCUGAGAAAUAGCUCGUACUCCCCGAAAUGCCUUUUGGGGCAGCCUCGGGUGGACGGUCGCGGAGGUAGAGCUACCGAUUGGAUGCGAGGGCCUCACCGCCUAUCAAAUCCAGACGAACUCCGAAUGCCGCGACGUAAUGCCCGGGAGUGAGCCGCGGGGUGCUAAGGUCCCGCGACGAGAGGGGAAGAACCCGGACCGGCAGCUAAGGUCCCCAAGCGUACGCUAAGUCGAGAAAACGUGGUGCGGCUGCAGUGACAGCUAGGAUGUUGGCUUGGAAGCAGCCAUUCAUUCAAAGAGUGCGUAACAGCUCACUAGUCGAGCGGCCGUGCGUGGAUAAUAAGCGGGCGUCAAGCGUACCACCGAAGCUCCGGAUUCUGCCGUAAGGCAGACUGGUAGGGGAGCAUUCCGUGCCCGGCGAAUCCGCUGCGCGAGCAGCGGUGGAGGGCACGGAAAAGCAAAUGUAGGCAUGAGUAACGACAAUGCGGGCGAGAAACCCGCACACCGUAAAGCCCAGGUUUCCUGAUCAACGCUAAUCGGAUCAGGGUUAGCCGGGACCUAAGGCUAAGCCGAGGGGCGAUGCCGAUGGAGAGCGGGUUAAUAUUCCCGCGCUGGUGCACGGUGCGAUCCGGGGACGGAUCCCCGCAGCGGCUACGCGCCGACGGAAGCGCGCGUUGAGCUUAGCCCCCGGGCGAAGCGAAGCCGUGAGGGGGGUCCCGAGAAAAGCCGGUAAGCUCCAGCCGUGUACCACCCGUACCGUAAACCGACACAGGUGGCUGGGGAGAGUAUCCCAAGGUGCUCGAGUGAAUCAUGGCCAAGGAACUAGGCAACAUAACCCUGUAACUUCGGGAGAAAGGGUCCCGCCGCGAGGCGGGCGCAGAGAAAUGGCCCAGGCGACUGUUUACCAAAAACACAUGGCUCUGCCAAACCGCAAGGUGACGUAUAGGGCCUGACACCUGCCCGGUGCCGGAAGGUUAAGAGGGGACGUCAUCCGCAAGGAGAAGCGUUGAAUCGAAGCCCCGGUAAACGGCGGCCGUAACUAUAACGGUCCUAAGGUAGCGAAAUUCCUUGUCGGGUAAGUUCCGACCUGCACGAAUGGUGUAACGAUCUGGGCGCUGUCUCGGCCAUGAGCUCGGUGAAAUUGAAGUCGCGGUGAAGAUGCCGCGUACCCGCAACGGGACGGAAAGACCCCGUGAACCUUCACUGCAGCUUAGCGCUGGUUCUGGGUAGACGAUGUGUAGGAUAGGCCGGAGGCAUUGAAGCGGUACCGCCAGGUAUCGUGGAGCCAACCUUGAAAUACGGCCCUUCGUCUGCCUGGGGCCUAACCCCGAAGGGGGGACACCGCUUGGCGGGUAGUUUGACUGGGGUGGUCGCCUCCAAAAGCGUAACGGAGGCUUCCCAAGGUGCCCUCAGCGCGAAUGGUAACCGCGCGGAGAGUGCAAUGGCACAAGGGCGCUUGACUGUGAGGCCGACAAGCCGAGCAGGUGCGAAAGCAGGGCAUAGUGAUCCGGUGGUUCCGCAUGGAAGGGCCAUCGCUCAAAGGAUAAAAGGUACUCCGGGGAUAACAGGCUGAUCGCCGCCAAGAGCUCAUAUCGACGCGGCGGUUUGGCACCUCGAUGUCGGCUCGUCACAUCCUGGGGCUGGAGAAGGUCCCAAGGGUUCGGCUGUUCGCCGAUUAAAGUGGCACGCGAGCUGGGUUCAGAACGUCGUGAGACAGUUCGGUCCCUAUCUGUUGUGGGCGUAGGAGGCCUGAGGGGCCCUGGCACUAGUACGAGAGGACCGUGCUGGACGUACCGCUAGUGUACCUGUUGUGGCGCCAGCCGCACCGCAGGGUAGCUAUGUACGGACGGGAUAAGCGCUGAAAGCAUCUAAGCGCGAAGCCCCCCCCAAGAUGAGGCCUCCCUCGAGGGCCGUGGGAGACUACCACGUUGA